UCUCGAGUAGCUGGGACUACAGGCGCCCACCACCACGCCCAGCUAAUUUUUUGUAAUUUUAGUAGAGACGGGGUUUCACCGUGUUAGCCAGGAUGGUCUCAACCUCUUGACCUCGUGAUCUGCCCGCCUCGGCCUCACAAAGUGCUGGGAUUACAGAAGUGAGCCACUGCUCCCGGCCUAUGAUGGGUCAGUGUUUUAAAAAGCUCUGUGCGCCUGGAUGAGUGCCAGCCACCUCCAAAUGUCAGGCUUGUAAGUGGAAGAGACUUGCCUUGUUUCAGGUUCCCCUGACUAUGUCUACCAGUCUGAGCUAGCGUGUUGGAAGAUGAAUGACCAUGUGGAAGAGAAUGCAGGCAUCCAGAAGAUGGAAAGUUCCAAUAGUCCCAGCAGUUUACUGCAAAUGGAUGGUUGAACUCCAGUCCAGUUCAGCUAAGCCUCUUCAGACCAAACAGAACUGUCAGUUAGGUCCAGCCCAAAUUUCUGACCCACAGAACCAUAUGAAUCGCUGUUGUUUUAAGAUAUUAAACUCUGUGGGUGUGUGGUGUUUUAUCACACUGCAGUAGCUA
rnacentral:lncRNA from 1 species